rnacentral:rRNA from 1 species
GACGAACGCUGGCGGCGUGCUUAACACAUGCAAGUCGAACGGUAAGGCCCUUCGGGUACACGAGUGGCGAACGGGUGAGUAACACGUGGGUGAUCUGCCCUGCACUUCGGGAUAAGCCUGGGAAACUGGGUCUAAUACCGGAUAGGACUCCUGGCUUCGUGGUUGGGGUGUAAAGCUUUUGCGGUGUGGGAUGGGCCCGCGGCCUAUCAGCUUGUUGGUGGGGUAAUGGCCUACCAAGGCGACGACGGGUAGCCGGCCUGAGAGGGUGACCGGCCACACUGGGACUGAGAUACGGCCCAGACUCCUACGGGAGGCAGCAGUGGGGAAUAUUGCACAAUGGGCGCAAGCCUGAUGCAGCGACGCCGCGUGAGGGAUGACGGCC